rnacentral:rRNA from 1 species
GUAGGUGGCAAGCGUUGUCCGGAAUUAUUGGGCGUAAAGCGCGCGCAGGCGGUUCUUUAAGUCUGAUGUGAAAGCCCACGGCUCAACCGUGGAGGGUCAUUGGAAACUGGAGAACUUGAGUACAGAAGAGGAAAGCGGAAUUCCACGUGUAGCGGUGAAAUGCGUAGAGAUGUGGAGGAACACCAGUGGCUAAGGCGGCUUUCUGGUCUGUAACUGACGCUGAGGCGCGAAAGCGUGGGGAGCAAACAGGGAUUAGAUACCCUGGUAGUCCACGCCGUAAACGAUGAGUGCUAAGUGUUAGGGGGGUUUCCGCCCCCUUAGUGCUGCAGCUAACGCAUUAAGCACUCCGCCUGGGGAUACGGCCGCAAGGCUG